UCCGUAGGUGAACCUGCGGAGGGAUCAUUAUAGAGUUGUAAAACUCCCUAAACCCAUGUGAACAUACCUGUUGCCUCGGCGGGCCUACCCUAUAGUUACCCUGUAGCUACCCGGGAGUGACCGCCGAAGGACUACCAAACUCUUUUAUCUCUGUAUCUCUGAGUAAAAAAACAAAUAAGUUAAAACUUUCAACAACGGAUCUCUUGGUUCUGGCAUCGAUGAAGAACGCAGCGAAAUGCGAUAAGUAAUGUGAAUUGCAGAAUUCAGUGAAUCAUCGAAUCUUUGAACGCACAUUGCGCCCAUUAGUAUUCUAGUGGGCAUGCCUGUUCGAGCGUCAUUUAGUCCACUUAAGCCCUUUGCUUAGUAUUGGGAAUCUACUCCUGCAUCGCAGCUGUAGUUCCUCAAAGACAGCGGCGGAGUCGUGGUUUUACUCUGAGCUUAGUAAUUUUUUUCUAGCUUUCGAGUUGCCAUUGCCCCAUUGCCGUAAAACACCCUUUAUUUUUUAAUGGUUGACCUCGGAUCAGGUAGGAAUACCCGCUGAACUUAAGCAUAUCAAUAAGCGGAGGA
rnacentral:rRNA from 1 species